AGUCCAUGAUAUGGGCAGAGUCUUAGCAUGUCCUUGUAUCGCUCCCAAGCUUCGAAAAGUGACUCAUUGCCUUUUUGGAUAAAUCCGUUGAUUUGACCUCUUAGCAU